UAGAAUAUGAUGCAAUUUAUGAUAGGGACAACUGAAUUCUAUGACUGAUUUAUCAAAAUUCGUUAAAAUCUGAUUCCU
rfam:Glossina fuscipes fuscipes unplaced genomic scaffold Scaffold413, whole genome shotgun sequence.